GCUGCGUCAGAUUCAAGCACAUGAAACGUGACUUGCUUGUCAUGGAUUUCUUCAUUGUUGUAUGUCUAAUGGAUUAAGUCCCCAAAAUUGUGUUAUACUCAAUUAACGGCUCAUGGUUUAUAUAAUAAAGUACCUACAAAAGGA